rnacentral:rRNA from 1 species
GACAGAGGUGCCGAGCGUUAGGCGGAAUCACUGGGCUUAAAGCGUGUGUAGGCGGACCGUUAAGUACCUUGUGAAAUCCCACGGCUCACCCGUGGAACGGCUGGGUAGACUGACGGUCUUGGGUUGCCUAGGGGCAGAUGGAACAGACGGUGGAGCGGUGAAAUGCGUAGAUAUGCGGAGGAACACCGAUGGCGAAGGCAAUCCCCUGGACCUGUACUGACGCUCAUGCACGAAAGCGUGGGGAGCAAACAGG